GUGCUUGCUUCGGCAGCACAGACGCUAAAAUUGGAAUGAUACAGAGAUUAGCAUGGCCCCUGCCAAGGACGACACGCAAAUUCAUGAAGCAUUCCAUAUUUCU
ensembl:snRNA U6 U6 spliceosomal RNA